rnacentral:rRNA from 1 species
GUACUUGUACUGAUUGAGAUUUUAACACGAAGUGAGUGGCGAACGGGUGAGUAACACGUGGGUAACCUGCCCAGAAGUAGGGGAUAACACCUGGAAACAGAUGCUAAUACCGUAUAACAGAGAAAACCGCAUGGUUUUCUUUUAAAAGAUGGCUCUGCUAUCACUUCUGGAUGGACCCGCGGCGUAUUAGCUAGUUGGUGAGGUAAAGGCUCACCAAGGCAGUGAUACGUAGCCGACCUGAGAGGGUAAUCGGCCACAUUGGGACUGAGACACGGCCCAGACUCCUACGGGAGGCAGCAGUAGGGAAUCUUCCACAAUGGACGCAAGUCUGAUGGAGCAACGCCGCGUGAGUGAAGAAGGGUUUCGGCUCGUAAAGCUCUGUUGUUAAAGAAGAACGUGGGUAAGAGUAACUGUUUACCCAGUGACGGUAUUUAACCAGAAAGCCACGGCUAACUACGUGCCAGCAGCCGCGGUAAUACGUAGGUGGCAAGCGUUAUCCGGAUUUAUUGGGCGUAAAGCGAGCGCAGGCGGUCUUUUAAGUCUAAUGUGAAAGCCUUCGGCUCAACCGAAGAAGUGCAUUGGAAACUGGGAGACUUGANUGCAGAAGAGGACAGUGGAACUCCAUGUGUAGCGGUGAAAUGCGUANAUAUAUGGAAGAACACCAGUGGCGAAGGCGGCUGUCUGGUCUGCAACUGACGCUGAGGCUC